UGGCGGAGGUGCAUUCCUGAGGCAAGGG
rnacentral:piRNA from 1 species